GACUAUUGUCGACAAAACGACAAAACGACAAAACGAUAGGGUUAAAAAGUAAUUAUAAAGUUAAAAAUAGUGUAAAAAAACUAAAAACAUGCAUGUCCAAGUCCAUAUAGGUCGGGAGAAAGUUACACCCCAUGUAUAGCCCAUCUAGGCCCAAAACAUGAAAGAACAUUAGGAGAGUAAAGGGGUGUUCUAGAUUGGAGCUGUAAAUAAGAGAGAGUGUGUUAUAUCAUUGAAGAGUGUGAGAUUUCUAUUCUAUAACCUUUGACGAUUUUAGCUGGUAUGAUGUUUAUGGUGAAGAUACUCAACUCUACCGCUUACUUUGUUAAUCGGUCUGAGAUGUUCACCUUAUGCAGGAUCUGCAACAGUGGGUGGGUAGUUGGUACCGUGAUUAUGCGUGCUUGGAAAUAUAGUCGGAGCCUCCUGGAGGCCAAUAUCACAACUUUUCGAUGGUCGAGUACCUUGUGUCCGCUUCCUACAGGGCUCUAGAAUAGUAGUAUAUUGGCCUCUGCAUGUUGCUCCUUCGUUUCAAGUACGAGGAAUUAAUGCGAUCACUGCUGCCUCGGAGCUUGCUAUGUACAGGGAUAGUAGUUCUCACGGUACGAGUGGUUGCAGAGUUGGGAAGUUCGCGAGUUGUACCUUGAGUUCUUUGAAAUCUCUCGCACACUCGUCUGAUAAUGUUAUCUUUUUUGAUGCCGAUUUUAGCAACUAGGAAACAGGUGGCAUCGGUCUGCUCUUCGUUGCAAGAAACGACUAAGUGUUGCGACCCGACCGUCCAGCCUUUGUAUCUCCUUUAUUGUUUUCAGAGAGAUUAUUACUAAGACUUCCUUGACCUUUUCUGUCACGACUUGAUCCCGUGUGGGUUGAUUUUAUAUCCAAGGAAAUGUCCUUAUGUUUCUUGGCAUUCAAACGUAGGUCUGCCUUUCGGAUGCUGGCUAAAUUUAAUUUCUUUCAGAUCGGACAGGUGGUCUUGUUAUACAUUGGACUGGACCAAGAUCGAUAUCAUUUAUUUAUACCUCGAUAUUCCUUCCAAUCUGGUUCGCGAAGAUUCGGUCCAUCAACUUCAGGAAUGUUGCUCCCACGUUCCGGAGCUCGAAAGGCAUUACCCGGAAAAAGAACGUGUCAUGCUCGGUAAUGAAAGACGUUUUUUUCGGUCCUGCUUUGCCCAGUAUGCUGCCGAAUCGGACAUCAUCCGGCGCGCUUCCGGGAGCAUGCCUUCUCCUUCUAACGCCAGGAACACUUGUCUUUGGUUUGGUCCGGACUCGACCUGUUUAAAGGACCCGGUGUAUGGUGCUUUCCCCUUGUUGUUCAGGGACCUCGAGGGGUAAUGCUUUGUAGGAAGGAGAUGCUCCCUCCUUCUGGUGUCAGUUAUUAUAUUCCCCUCCUCUCCUCUUUUGACACAGCAUCGCUUGUUUAAAUUUCGAGACCAGGUAAUCCUCCGCGUUCAUCACGCCUUGGGAGCACAGGACAUAACUUUAGAAAAGGUUUUGACCUUGCAAUCGACGACGAACCGGGUCCCUCUCAGCCCGUUGAGUAAGGCCAUCAUUAUCGUCGAUUCAUCGGCUUCUUCCAGCUAUUGGACCGCCAUUACGAACCGGUUCGUGUCACCCCAUAGGGUCUCAUUAUCACCCUAUGAGAAACCCAAGAGGGUUGUUAAUCUCUUCUUUGCGCUGUCUUUAAAGUUUAAAGGGUCAUAUUACUUAUAAUAAUACAAAGAUAACAAAAUAAAUGGAAACAAAAUAAUAUAGGGUUAAAUAUGCAAAUUAUUAAAUUUGAAGAUUGUUAUUUCCAAGAUCUUCUAUAAAUGAUCGAAUUCCGUUACUUCAUCUAAACCAGUUGCCUAACAACGAGAGGAGGGGAGAAGGUUGGAAAAAACUGGAAGAAAUAAGUUGCAGGUUUUUUACAGAGGUGCGUUUGAUUGAUGCUUCUUAUAUUACCAUCAUUUAAUUAUAAUUAUUACAUAUUAUCAAUGGCAGAUCAAAAACGGAGGAUAUGAAAAGAUCGCCGUCGCCAAACCCGAGCUCUUUUACAUCCAAUCUUCUUGGAGGGAGGUUUUGUCUUUGUUCUCCGACGACGCAUCCCGGCUCUUUCCGACGACGCUUGCAACCACCGUAACGAAAACAAACAAUCAAAUCAUCGGGGUGCCAACACCAUCAAGAACUUUGUUCCCUCCUCCAAGACCGAAGAAAAUAUCUAUUACCUCAACUACUGCAACUAAAGUUUUUGAUUCCACCGGGGUGUCAUAAUCAAGAACUUUGUUCCCUCCUCCUCGACCAAGGAAUUUAUCUUCCGAAACUGAAUUUCUUGAUUCUACAGAGAAUAAAGAAACAACAUCACACUCCUGGCAAGAAUAAAUAAGAUGAAUUCAAAUUCAAAUUUUAUUUGAUUUUAUUUUUUUAAAUAAUUUCAAGCAUUUUUCUUCUUUAUUAAAUUCCAAUAUCGGCAUUAUAAUGUAAUCUGAAACACAGUAAAACAGUUGUUUGCUUAUGAAAUACUAUAAAUAUUGAUGAUCCUAUGAUAAUUAUUAGAAAGGUUUAAAAAACAACAUUUUCAGGAUAAACAGAGCUGUUGAUUCAUUAUUGGCAUCAAAGAUUUGCAACCAUUGCCAGUUUCUGAAGAAAGGAAAUAAAAAAAAAGAUAAGAAAACAAGAUUGAACUAACUUUCAACUUAUUUGCAAUCUGACCCAACAACCGCAUCCACCAAUUGAUCGAUCUUCUUGUCGGAAUUCUUGACGUCCACCACCUCCCCAUCUCCAGAUCGAUUAUCUCCGCCUUCGUCGCCGGAAUCGGAAAGGUCAAGGGACCGUGACCGACUGACGUAGAGGGGAACCGAAGUACUAAUGUGAGAUGCAGAUAUUAUGGACAUUGAUAGCGGUUAUCUGUGGUAUGAAUCGAGGGUGGUGCACGACUAGAUCCCGUGCGGGUUGAUUUUAUAUCCAAGGAAAUGUCCUUAUGUCACCUUGAACGUGCAUUUCUUGGCCUUCAAACGUAGGUCUGCCUUUCGGAUGUUGGCUAAAUUUAAUUUCUUAAUUUCAGGUUGGACAGGUGGUCUUGUUAUACAUUGGACUGGACUAAGAUAUCAUUUACGUAUACCUCGACAUUUCUUCCGAUCUGGUUCGCGAAGAUUCGGUCAAUUAACCUUUGGAAUGUUGUUCCCACAUUCCGGAGCCCGAACGGCAUUACCCGUAAAAAGAACGUGUCAUGCUCGGUUACGAAAGACGUUUUUUUCGGUCCUAAUUCGCCCAGUAUGCUGCCUCGGUUCGUGUCACCCCGGAGGGUCUCAUUAUCAUCCUAUGAGAAACCCAAGAGGGUUGUUAAUCUCUUCUUCGUU
rnacentral:lncRNA from 1 species